UCACAGAUGCAGCUCAUAUCUGGCAUUGCUGUGGCUGUGGCAUAGGCCGGCAACUACAGCUCCUAUUCGACCCCUAGCCUGGGAACUUACAUAUACCCCAAGUGCAGCCUUGAAAAGACAAAAAUAAACAUUCAGUAAAUUGUCCAUUUAUAAAAUAAAUGAUAAUGUUUGUAAUAACAGCAGUUUCUUUGGAAAUGUACCAAGGAAAUGCAAUAAUUAAAAACUACAGCUAAAAACAUAAACUGUUUGAAUGUAAAUUCAACAAGACAGGUACAACAUUCAGGUAAAGAAAAUUCUAAAGCUAUUAAAAACAGUAAUACUGGAAGGAAGGGGGCCUACCUAAGUUUCAUAGGUAGGGGCUCUCUUUUCAAAAUGCUUGCCUUCAGUAGCAGCUCCAGUGUUUUUACUGGGUAUUUGACCAUUGAUAAGUUUUCUAAAAUGUGUCUGCCUUGGUUUUCUCAUCCACAGAAUGGCAAUAAUAAAAAUAUCCCAUUUGCGGAGUUGUUGUGAUGGAUAAAGAGAUAAUGUCAAGUGUUUGAAAAAUUAUUGUGUACACACCAAUCAUUUAAUUACCGUUUGCUCUUCUUUCUACUAUAUACUUUCUAAUACCUCUUCUGCUAUUUCUAGGAAGUAUAAACCACUAGAGAUAUGAACUCUCUAAAAACUAAUCUGUGCAUUCAAUGUAAAAUCAAGCCAAAUCUUACUAGGAUUUUUUAAAUUUGUCAAGUGGUUUUAAAGUACCUCUUAAAAAAGAUGUAAAACAAGUGAAGGGCUACCAGGCAGAAUUGAAGGAGGGAUUAUGCCCUGGCAGAUGUUAAGAUUCAUUACAAGUUAUACAAAUCGAAAUAGAAUGAUAACAGGAAGAAUAGGGAACCAGAAAUAACUGUCUAUGAAUGUAUGGAAUCUUAAUACAUGAUAACAAAGACAUUUGACAUCAGUGGAAAAAGAUCUAUGCUAAUAACCCAAGGUAAAAAUCUUUGUAGGCAAAUAGAUACUGGCCUUCAGAAACGAGAUACAAAAGAUCGAUAAAAAUACACUUCACUCGUAAUUGAAGAAAUGCAAAUGAAAUAAGAAUCUUGUAUUUUUAUUUGGAUGAGUCCUUAAAAAAUAGAGCACUACAAUUUCUGCAUUUUUGAAUUUGGAGGGAAUGUGUGUUUUCCAAAGCUUUCUUGACCCCAGUGUUACUAACAAAGGUGGGAUAUGGAUUUGGGAAGGAGUUAGGUCGGAGAUCAGGACAGACUGAGUGAGGAUCUAGGUCAGAGGCGAAGAGAGGGUCAUGUAUGAUGAAAGCAUCGGAGCUUUUCUCAGGUAUCACUUGUCAUGAAGUUUAAUAAAAUACUGAUUUUUCAGUUUAACAUGGUGGUGUCAAAGGCCACGCUUUGCUUCUUGCUAUUGUUAAAUACUGAAACUAUUACGAAAAUGCAGUCUUGGCCAGAAUAUAGGGAAAUAGACAAGUACACUGUUGAUGGGGUUUAAAGGCAUAAGGUCUUUCUGCAAGGAGUUUCUCCAACAUGGAUCAAACAUAAACACGGAUAUACUUUGCCACAGGAAUUUGUCUUUAUAGAUAUAUCUAUAGAAAUUUGCUAUAUAAAUUGUGUUUAGAGAAAGGCAUUUCAAUGAGAUAACCAACUAAUCAUGCAGAGAUAAAUAAGUAAAAUAAAUAUAUAUGUAUAUUUAUAUUCUUACAUUGUUUAUAGUACAGGGGUGGGGAAAGGAAAGUAACCUAGAUGUCUAGGAGUAAAGGCUUGUUUACAUGAGUCAUCUAACAUUCGACAGUGAAAGGCUAUUCAGCCACCAGUGAAUGCUGUAGAUCUACAUUUACUGAAAUUUAAAACUCUGCCCAGCAUAUUGCAAAGUGUAAAUAUUUUUUAUACAUAUGUAUGGUGGUGUAUGUGUACAUGGUUAUGUCCACAGAGAGCACUGCCUUACAAGAUGUUCAGAAAAAUGUUAACAGUGAAAAUCUCACCCACAUGGUAUGUGAAUGAUUUUGUUAUUUUGUUUUUAUCGGCUUGUUUGUGAAGAGUCUUCCAGAACAUAGAUUAUAAUUUUUUUUUCUUGAUGACUGAUAUUUUGCUCAUCUUUUCACCCCUCCUGUCAAUCAGUUAAUGUGUUCAGAAUCACAUCGGUGUGUUGUGAGUAGAUCACCAGCAAAAGAGAUUUUGGUUAAGACCAAAGGAAAAGAAUAUUACUUUUCAAAUUUGGCAUGCCUUGGGGAAGGAAGCUUCAGCCAAAGAGCUGAUACUGGACUCUGGAACCCAAGGAGUGAAUACAGGAGCUAGGAGAGGAACUCAAAAGGAGGUAAACGAAAUAAAGAGGGGUGCUGUAUCCCCAUGAUCUCUUAACAGUGGUUAUUGUUAAUGACAGGAAAUCUCAUGGACUGCUGUUCACAUCUCAAAGGCCACCAGUCCCUAAUUUAAUAGAUCAGUGUUACCUUAGAAGAUUUUUAAUGCUGGCCUUUUGGGUUGUCAGACGCUUUCCAUUCCGUCUGAACUUGAUGCUGCAGUCCCAGUUUAGUGAUAGCCCAUGCUUUUCCUUUGAAGUAGUAUCAGUACAUCCAAGUUCAGCCUCUCCUUGCCUGUGACAAGAGGCAAAAAUGGACAUUUACUAAUUAAUCUAGCAUGUAUUGACUAUGCCUCCUUUGCCACACUCUGAGCUAGAUCCUGGAAACUUGAGUCUCUGUCAGUCUGGUCAGAAAGGCAAGUGUGUAAAUGCAUAGUCAGAAUGUAAUUUGAUGGAAGUAUAUGCAGGUGACAUUUAUAAGAGAUGUCCAGAGCAGACACAGGAGAAAGUAGAUUGGUAUUUGCCUAGGGCAGAGUGUGGGGGCCAGACCAAUGUAGGGUGAUUGCUGAAGUGUGUGGUGUUUCUUUCUUGGGUGGUGAAAAUUUUCUAAACGUAUGUUGUGUGUCCUUUAAAUGGUAAUCUUAGUGGUAUGUGAAUUAUAUGUAAGUAAAGAUGUUAACAAAAAAGUCAUAUGAGGAGUUCCUGCUGUUGCACAGUGGGUUAAGAAUCCCGACUGUAGCGGCUCAGGUUGCUGCAGAGGCAUGGUCUCAAUCCCUGGCCAGGUGUAUUGGGGUAGAGAAUCCAGCAUUCAAUCCCUGUCCAGGGAACUUUCAUAUACGGCAGUG
rnacentral:lncRNA from 1 species